UCCUAGCCGUCGUGUGUGGUCGAUAUGCAUGGUCAUUUCUUUUUAGUUCGUCUAUAUAUAGUACUAGUAUAUAUCCUUAGCCGUCCCGUGUGUUCGAUAUCAUUUCUUUUAGUUCGUCUAGCCCUGAUCACAACGUCCGACGGCCAAGUGAGAUUUGAGAUACUACUCUUCAGUUUUGGACAACGACAAUGUCCAGCGGGAAUAGCAGGAGAAAUCAGAUAGCACCCAGUAAUUCCAGCAUGGAGGCUGAUCGUGAGGCUAGAGAUCCUCUAAAAUCGCUUAAAGCUCAGAUUAACAAACUCAGGCUGAUACUGCAAAGGAUGGAAGCUGACUUGCUAGUUCUGGAAAACAAUGAUCACACUUCGGAAAGUCGCGGCGCCCCCCCCGGUUUCAAUUAAAUACCAACCAAUUGGUUUGGUAUUUAAUUUCAAAUUAAAUGCAUGCAUGACCAUCUCCAUAUAAUAUAAUAUAUUAAUAAAUAAUGAGUAGAUGGUCACUAGCUAGAUCACUUUGAUCAUAUGUACUAAGUCUGUAUCAUGAUCUAUAUAUGUUCGUUAAUGCUUGGCGUCGCAGUACUCUGUACGUACUUACGUACGUACUAGUUUGGUUUCGUAUUUAAUUUCAAAACGCAUGCAUGCAUGCAUGCAAGUGUGUUUCUAUGUUUAUCAUCAUCUAUAUUCAGGGGAUGUAUAUUAA